UGCGUCAGCCACGGACUGGAUAUGGCUGAAAUCAUCCCAGAAAACUAGAUUUUACUAAAUAUGCCUUUCACUUCAAGUCGAUUAUAACACAGAGAGUGAAAAACAGAAGCAGGAUUCAGCGAUCCCCAGAGGAAAGCGUCAAGCACGAACGCACUCGUUUCGGUUUAAAAAGUUUCCGUCUCGGCUGUUCGGCAGUCCCUGAGGUUUCAUCCACUGCCAGCAUGCUACGGGCUGCCUGAUCUAAAAUAGGAGACCUCCGAAAAGCAAAGAAAAGAAAAGUUUUCCCCAAAAAGCGGUUCGGGUCCCGUAGAAUCUCCGAACUAUUCGAGGAAACUAACUCGGAGUGCGCAUGAAUUGGUUUUCGCUCGUGAUCGAUCGCGCUGUGAGCGGCCUCUGUUGUGCGCUGCUGCAGUGUGUUAACACUGCACACCAGUCUCCUCUCUUAUCUGACGCAGAGGGCCUCCCCUUUGCGAUAAAACCGGUUCUUAUUUCUAUUUAGAUAAGGAACUGCAGGUAAUGUGCCUUUUCUUCGCCUUGCAACCAGACUGAUUGACAGAGAAGUGCGCCCCUUUUUAAUGGCUUUUCCGGCACCCAUUUAACUUUUGGAUAAGGAUAUCGCCCACAUCACCCCCGUUAACAAACAAUGGAGGAUGUGCCAGGCAGAGGGGAGUGCAAACGCUCUACAAGGUUCUGGUUAGACACAGCCAGCCAAACCCACUGCAUAGACCUGUACAGCUGACACCCAGCAGCCUCUAGGAGUUGACAAAUGGAAAAAGGCCUGAAGAUAAAUGAAGCACAAUUACCCGAGCUCGGGGAUGGGUGAUGCCAUAGGCUUCCUCGGUCAGUCCCACCCUUUGGUGCUCCGGGGCAGAGGAGAGAGGAAAAAGGUGAGAGCGAGAUGAAGAGGGGAAAAGGUCAGACUUUAAGCUUCAGGCAUUGUGAAGAAACACAAACUUCUCUAUGUUUUCACUUGUGUGCUUGAUGUAGUAUCACAGUUCAUACAUGGCUAUGAGGGAGAAAAAGGUUGUUUUUUUUUUUUACACUAAAGCUGUGACGAAAUAAGAUCUACAUUAUUAGAUCUACAGUAGGCUGACUUGAGGUCUUUGCAACAGUAUCAUAAUGAUCUGUUAAACCUAUUUUUUCUUAUUGCUUAUAUUUAUGAUACAGUUCAUGCACAACAAAAUAGAGAAAAAAAUAGCAGUUUCAAAUUUUCACCCUGCACCAACUUGCAAUUUUAACUUCUCUUGCCUUUCUCUUUCUUUCACACUCGCUCUCCAUUUGCUGACAAUCAGGAAGUGACAGCUACCACACUAAGUGGUGCUCGCCUCACUUUUUACACACGAGUUAAGCCAUUACCCUUCCGAUACCUUGGCACAGGGCAAGUGAGCGUGAGAUCUCAAAUAGCAGUUGCGUGCAGGGAGGAAAACACAUCCCCUGAUUACAAAUCUCCGGCCCAGGUGGUCUCGCUCAGACCCCUACACUAAUUUUACCCGAACCAUGACAAAUAAGUCCCACAAUCCAUAUUUACAGAGGAACAGCCAGCAUCUCCUUUCUCUCGUUCAGCUGUGCUGAAUAACAAAUGGCCGGAGUGACAUAUUCAUCAGGAUCAGAUUCACGGCGAAAUGAAGCAUUAUAUUUUUAAAUAAGCUUUACACAUUUGGGGAAGCUCCUCACAGGAGGUACUAAUUUGUAUGCUCAAUGAAACUAAUCACCUAAUUGAAAAAUGGUCCCAGUGAGACUUAAGUGUCAACAGAGGCGUGGCGAAAUGAUAGCCUAUAACAGAUUAUUCGAUUGAAGCCAUUAACCAAAGCAGCUGUUAGUAUGAUAAAUCACACAGAGAACCCAAACAAUCUCAGCUCAGUGUUUCACUAUUAAUGAAUAUUACCCAGUCUUAACCUUUAGUGAUUUAUGUGUUGUUUGUUAAUCACAAGUGCAAAGAAAUGCUAAUAAUAUACAUUAAAAUUCAAGCUUUUAAAGGGUAUUGUGCAGUGCAUUCUUAAAGGGAUUGAAUAAACAUUAACUUUAGUACUAUGAACACGCUAGGCCAUUGCUGGGAAAAUUGUUGAGCUUUUACAGCCUACAAACAAACUGAAUCACAUGUAGGUUUGGGUAGGUUGCUUGAAAAAUGAGAUUAAAACUUUUCACAUUUUUAGUCAGCAUUUAAUCAAAGGUGCAUUUAAACAACUUCCUAUCCAAAACACAGAGGUACAACCCGUCCUGUGCAGUAUGCAACUCUGGAAGAAUGCAUAACGUAGCUCAGAAUUACCUAGUUUUACAGUUUUAUUCAUACAAAACUGCAAAUGACAACAACAGCUGUCAAAAGGUGUUUUUUUUACAAUAACACAGAGAAGACACCGGCAAUCAGAAGUCCCCCCUAUGAUCAAACAUUUGGUGACAGUGGGAAGGAAAAACUACCUUUUAACAGGAAAUACUCUGGCACAGCCAUCUGUCGUGACUGGUUUGGGUGGAGGGGAGGGACGGAAGACAAAAGACACCCUUUGGAAGAGAUUGAUAAUAACUAAUGAUGAAAUGCAGAACACGGGAAGUCCCCCGCAGCCUAGACCUAUUGCAGCGCAACUAAGAGAGGAUUCAGAGUCACCUGAUCCAGCCCCAACUGUAAGCUUUAUCAAAAAGGAAAGUUUUAAGGCUAAUCUUAAAAGUAGAUAGGGUGUCUGUGUCCUGAAUCUAAACUGGGAGCUGUUUCCACAGAAGAGAGGCUUGAAAGCAAAAUGCUCUGCCUCCCAUUCUACUGUAAAAUAUUCUAGGAACCACAAGUGAACCAGCAGUCUGAGAACAAAGUGCUCUAUUUAGUUCUCUUAUCAUGGAAGCUCCACCAUUAUUUCUUACUGUGUCAAUUAAAAAAAGAAGAGAAAACUAGAUUAAAUGAUGAUGACGACGAGAGCAUGAUGAUAUACAGCAUAUUAAAGCAUCACUCCAUAAAGCCCUGUUAGGGGCCCAGUGAUGUUGAAAUGAACCUGAGGCUUUUCUCUUUGAUAUAUGUCCUCACAAACUCACGCCCCUACACCCACAGACAGUCCCAAAUGCUAACAUGCAUGUACAGACACAUUCCAAAACACUACAUACUGCACUUAAAUACAUACAGAAUUCCUACUCCCACACAGAUAUGACAAAUGCUGCACGAUAUGUUUCAUUUGCUGGCCCUCGAGAGCAGCUGAUGACUGGGGUUCUGAUGGGAGGACAUGGAAAUGUGGGUCGUGCCUCACCUGCGCUUUCAUCUGCAGGUCCUGUUCAUCUUCAGAGAUGCCUGUCACAAAUCCCCGCUCUGCAUGUCAGAGACACCCGUUUCCCUGUGCAGCCCUGACUCACAGACAUAACCCAAUAGCACACUCACUACCAGGGACCGAAACUCACAUCUGGGCUGCAGAGACAAAGGUGGAACACUUGAGAGCUGUGGUAAAUUCUGAGUAAUGUGGCUCAUUUCUCAGCAAACACAUACUGUAAAGGUUUUUGGAGGAAUGCAGAUCUUGACACAAGUUUAGAAGCUGAUGGUUUUUUAUGCUGUCUGAAAUAUAUCGGGUUGCACAUCGCUGACCUAUAAAAGACAACAGACAUCAUCUCGUCUUUCCUUUUGUUGCUACACAAGUUUUCACUGUUGUUUUAGGCUGUGGUACCAACGUCAAAUCAAAACACUUGUUUGGAUGCUCUAAUUGAUGGCAGGCAUUGUUUCCAGCCAGCUCCUCUUCCCUUUCCCCAAUCCACUCCCAAUUCACUCAGAAUUACUUCUCCUCCCCUGCAGCUACGAUUCAUUUUAUGCCGUAGACAUCAGCUGAUCGAAGGCUUCACCUUUUGGUAUUUUGGUUGCAUCAAGAUAUUCUCACAUGUUGCAUUUUUUGUUUGUUUGUUCUUUUUUUUGGCAUCCAUGCUAGCAAUAAUACCAAGGUUUGUCUCAUUCUGUUUUAUGUAAAACACUGAGAACACUCUUGGGUGAAAAACAUCCCUCGCCCUGAGGGAAACUCUCAGUUCCUGUGCAAAUAAAUAACAGCACAUGCAGUCAAGACAAAACAGCAAUUAUCCUGGAGAGAGACUGUGUGUGUGUGUUAGUGAGAGAGAGAGAAAGGGAGAGAGUAAUUCUGCCUUUACAUGUCCCUCCUGGCUCAGUUUGUGUGGCACAGUUGGCUUUUUCUUUUCGUGAUAAAUGUGCAUGGAUUUACGUUGCACACUUGUCCCUGCAGUUUGCCUUGUUUGCAUAAAUACUGCUUAACACUUUGAUGAUCGUCAGGUCUUUAUGGACUGAUCCCUUAGCGAGAGAGUGCUAUUAUCCCCAAAGACAACAGGAGUUCAUUUUGAGUUCUGUUGACACUAACGUCUGAAGCUGAAACCGUGGUUGUGUAGCUGCUUCGGGUUCUGUCCUACAAAGCGUCCCGGGGUACAGAUGCAGGCAUGUUUCUCUAUGUAUAAACUAAGUCUUAAGCCCAGCUGACAGCACAAUUUGAUUUUUUAAGAUUCCUUGAAUGAAAGCCUCUCCACCCUGUUUUAAGUAAUAAGAGAUUACAGGUAAUCUCCUGGUAAUGGCAGGCUGGCAUUUCUCUGCAGCAGGCGCUUCUGAGGCACGGUGGGAGAUGUUGUUUUUGACCCACUGACUGUUUAAUCCUUUCUCAGCAUGUUAAUUAGUUUAUCAGUCAGUGCAGAAAAAACCUUUACCAGCAAGGUGUGAGUGAAAGGGUUUGUGCUUCGUGUGUGCGUUUUUGUACACGUGAAGAUGUGUGUGGGCAUGUGCAUUUAUUAGCAGAAAUAUGCAUAUAAUCACAAGUAUGCACAUCUAUCUGCAUCCCCUCAUGGUCAUGUCAUUGCAUAAUGAAAUGGUGAAAUAACAAUGAUGUCAAAAGUACAAGCGAAAAAAAUCAUUCAAAAACAGCUGUGUGUCUUCACGAGCAUGUGACCCACAUGUAUAAAGUGUAUACUUUAUGGAAGUUCUCUCUUUUAUUUAAGGGUCUUGAAUAAGGACUUGAGAAGGACACAGUCAUUGCUGGCUUCAGAAAGAGUAUGACGCACCAUCAUCUAAACAAGAAAUUAUCAGUUGCCGACUCCUAAUAAGUUGCUACAGUUAUAUACUGUGCAUUCCAGUGUUAGUCACGAUUCAUUUACUGUCUGCCUUCGGCUGCUGUUGUGCGUCCUUGGUACAAAAGCGUGUAAUGGCAGCUCUCAGCUGACUCCCAGCUGACCACCAUACAAGUUACCCAUGAAAAUUACAUAAGCAGCAGCACAUAAAUACAUCAGAUCAAUAAGAUUGAAAAAAAGAAAAAAAUCAUCCUCCCUUAUCUUCUGUUAUUUUUUUUCUUUUUUAAAAUUGGAUUCCUGACAGCACCUAGCUACAGGUUGUGCUGUCGACUUAUCCAUAUUUGCAUACAUUAAAAAAAAAUUUCUAUGGUUUGGAAAUAAUGUUACACAGAGUAAUGUCUUUAAGGAUGCAACAGGCUGCAAUUCUCCCCGUGAGAUGAAAAGAUUGCUCAUUUUUAAAAAUAAUUCCUUUAUAUACCCCAACUCUCCAUCUGUCAGUAGAAAACAAAUGUAAAAAAAUUGUGUUGCUUGCAUGGCCAAAGAAAGAAAGAAAUCAUUACAUUUUGUCAUGAAUCACUUUCUUCAAAAUAGCAAAAUGGCUCAUUAACCUUGGUGUGAUGGUUAAUGUUUGUUAUAAAUGAAUUACAUGCCUCAGACUAUGAACUACUAAUGAGUGUGGACCAUAUAAGAAUGCGUACAAUAGGAAUAUUAUAAGAAUUACAUAUUAAUGAAAAUACUUUAUGCUGCAUGAGAAAAAGCUGCUCUCAUGACAAAAUCAUAAGACGUGGAAAUCUAAAAAGCUGUACAAACUAAAACUACCUGAAACAUAUUUACUAUUGGAAGGAAUUGGGAAAUUAUUUCCUCCUUGAUGGGGGAGGAUGCUCUCUCCCACUACCCUUCAAGUUACGUUACAUUUGAAUCACAAUUAUUUUCACAAUUAUUAUGUCUGUGUGUUAAGCUACACAGUAACUGUGUUCAGAGUGUCUCCUGUGAGCGUCAUGUUAAACAACUACUCACCUGUUUUCUCACCCUACUGUGUAAUUUGCACUUCCUGCAACAGGUGGGGGACAUGUUUUCGAAAUCCUAUGCGGUGAUUUCAUAUAAAUGGCACUGAAAUUGAAAAUGGUUCGAAAGACUGCAAUCACAAGCCGUCGUUUCUGUUUUGGUCUUUCAGAGGUUAUGGAUUAUGAUAGUGGGGAGGGCUAUGGGGGCUUGCCAGUGAAAAUGUGUGUUUGUAAAGUAAGCAGACUGUUUUCCACCUCAUUUCCCUUUUGCCGUCUCUCAGCUAUCUUUUCACCCCGAGCUCUGUGUGCCUUCGGUGGCAAUCUUAGGGGAAAUAAAUAAAACUGUAACAGCUUGAUUAAACCUGCUGUGCUCUCUAAAAGACAUUUUGAAGUGCACCCCUGCCCCCCAACCCCAUAUACCAGUAAUGUUUUUGUGGAGGCUGAAAGCUGGGCUUUCCUCUUGCUUCCUCUGUGGUCUUGCUGAAUGUUUGUGACGUGUGCUGUUAUACUUGAGCUGUUGUGUAAGCUCUUGCCAGUCUGGGCAGAUGUGAAGGAUGGAUUUGCUUGCACUGCUGCCAAAUCACUGUUGUCUUUUCAAGGUCUCUGACCCUGAGAUAAAUGACCGUCUGUAGCAAAUGUAAGUCCUUUGAAUUUGAUUACAGUGCAGCAUUACUACUUGCUCUAUGCAAAUAAACAUAUAUGGAGAAGAUGGAGAGCAACCCAAAUGAC